rnacentral:rRNA from 1 species
GAGUUUGAUCUUGGCUCAGGAUGAACGCUGGCGGCGUGCUUAACACAUGCAAGUCGAACGAAGCGCCUUAUUUGAUUUUCUUCGGAACUGAAGAUUUGGUGACUGAGUGGCGGACGGGUGAGUAACGCGUGGGUAACCUGCCCUGUACAGGGGGAUAACAAUCAGAAAUGACUGCUAAUACCGCAUAAGACCACAGCACCGCAUGGUGCAGGGGUAAAAACUCCGGUGGUACAGGAUGGACCCGCGUCUGAUUAGCUGGUUGGUGAGGUAACGGCUCACCAAGGCGACGAUCAGUAGCCGGCUUGAGAGAGUGAACGGCCACAUUGGGACUGAGACACGGCCCAAACUCCUACGGGAGGCAGCAGUGGGGAAUAUUGCACAAUGGGGAAACCCUGAUGCAGCAACGCCGCGUGAGUGAAGAAGUAUUUCGGUAUGUAAAGCUCUAUCAGCAGGGAAGAAAGUGACGGUACCUGACUAAGAAGCCCCGGCUAACUACGUGCCAGCAGCCGCCGUAACACC